AGUUCUAGAGGGGACAAUCAAUCAGGUGGCCGAUGGACUCCUUUGCCACUGCGUGAAGUCUCCACCUGUAGGUCUGAAGAAGUAAAGAAGAUGAACUCCAUCCUGUCUUUCACCAAGUGUCUAAGGCUAUAUCUACCCUCCAAUCGGGAUCAAGGCUAUGAGAUCAAUCCACCGGCAGUCAAUUUAGCAAGUCUAGUGAAGACCUGCUAGAUCAACAGCAGAUCACUCUGCAGUCGACCCCUGUACUCUACCCCCAACAACCCUGUGGUAACUCAACCUAAGAAUGAAGAAAAGGCCUCUCUGCUCACUGAAGGAAAUGCACAUGUUCCAAGCAUGCAGCCCCCGUUAAAAAAGAAAAAAAAAAUGCAGUCUCUCACUACUUCAUGUUCCAUGGCCAGAGAAACAGGAGGUUCUCGAUCCACACUCACAGAUGAGUCUGCAUUUAUGUAUGGAUUUUACUCAUGCUUUUUGUUGUUGUUCUUGCUUAAAACCAAAGUUUUUCUUUCUUAAGGUUUGGAUAUAAAGAAGGGAGGGAAUGCAUAGUUAUUACAUCAAAUGCAAGUUUAGCCCACUGUCUUGCUACAAAGUGAUAUGCAGCCUGGUUGCCUUUUGAUACCCUCUCCCCACCAGAACCCUAGCUGUCUGCCAGAUAUCACCAUCCCUUGUCACAGUCACCCACUCCCGUCCUCGAUGCUCAGUUCUAGUUCUUGGUGGCUGGGACUCCCAUCCAAGCCAGCAUUAUAAUCCUGAUGUGCGUCCAACAAAAACACAGAUGUGUUUAAAAAAUAUAAAUCUUUAACUAUUUUUGCUCUUCUUCAGAAGGAACUCAACUAUUAAAUCAAUUUACAACCCUUAAGUGCUGUCUCUGAAUUGUUUCCCUGAGAUAGGUGUAUGAUUAGAAGCCACUUAAAGAGAAGCACUGAAGGGUUAUACCAACUGCUGAAUUAAAGUAAACUGAAUAGCAAACAACGGUUUAGGGUCACCACACACACAAUUUUUGUUUUUCUGGGUGGGGAGGAGAGGAAUUUUAGGACUCAUUCCAUGCUAGUUCUAUAAUGUAAUCUAUUGCCUGUUGCAGAGCAUCUUCCUUAUACUAAAAAUGCUUACUUAAUCCUUCAUUACUUCACCUAUCUAAAUCCAGCCCAUGGCUUACUUCCCCAUUAAGUUGAUAUCCCUUUAGAUACAGGGGUGUGUAUGCU